AGAAUUGAUCUUGGUUCAGAACGAACGCUGGCGGCAGGUCUUAGGCAUGCAAGUCGAACGGGUGUAGCAAUACAUCAGUGGCGCACGAGUGAGUAACGCGUGGGAAGCACCCAUCACUGGGGAAUAACGUUUGGAAACGAACGCUAAUACCGCAUACGCCCGAAAGGGGAAAGAUUUAUCGGUGAUGGAUGUGCCCGCGUUGGAUUAGCUUGUUGGUGGGGUAACGGCCUACCAAGGCGAUGAUCCAUAGCUGGUCUGAGAGGACGAUCAGCCACGCUGGGACUGAGACACGGCCCAGACUCCUACGGGAGGCAGCAGCUAAGAAUAUUGGACAAUGGGGGAAACCCUGAUCCAGCCCAUGCCGCGUGAAUGAAGAAGGCCUUCGGGUUGUAAAGUUCUUUUAGUAGUGAAGAUGAUGACAGUAGCUACAGAAAAAGCACCGGCUAACUUCGUGCCAGCAGCCGC
rnacentral:rRNA from 1 species